rnacentral:rRNA from 1 species
CCCGCAGACGGUUGAACGGGAUUUUUUAACCCGACACCCUGACGCGGUUGUGUUCAGUGCAAAAAAACGCCAGUGGGGCAACCAGGAAGAUUUGGCGUGUGCGCAGUGGAUCUGGGGGCGAAUCGUGAGUCUUUACGAGCAGGCCGCCAGCGAUGAUGGCGAGAUUUCGCGACCGAAAGAACCCAACUGGACCGCAUGGGCCAACGACGUGCGCACAAUGCGGAUGCUGGAUGGCAGAACUCACAGACAAAUUUGUGAAAUGUUUGGUCGGGCGCAGCGGGAUCCAUUCUGGGUAAAAAAUAUCAUGAGUCCGUCAAAGCUUCGCGGAAAAUGGGAUGAAC